AGAGAAGAAAGGCCAUGGGGAAAUUUUGGUGCUAGGUGCUAGGACCUGCAGAAAGGAAGUGCAUUCAAGCUUAAGACCUGAACUGAAUUAACCAGUUUUCUGAAGCAAUCAGUAUUAUCCUGUGGAUAACAUACUUGGAUGAAAAUAAAUGGGCAGUUCAAGGACUCUUUCGUCUUUCUGAUAACUCAAGAAAAAGAUGGCUGGCUCAAACCAAAGGUCAUCUCUCGCUGCUUUCCAAGAAUUAUCCAUCUUCUGGCUGCCCAAUAAGUCUGGAUGUCCAGCAAAACAGCAUGUGCUUCUCCUGGCUUAGCAACCACAAAAGCAAGUGGGAUCCUGUAGAAAGCAGGGGGGA